AAAUUUCCCCACAGAGCCAACUUGAACCUAACCACUGAAUUUGAUUCAACUCUCAUCCGAUUCGCUUGUGACCAGAAUCAUGGGAAGAAGCAAGUGCAUGAAUGGAGCCAGGAGUCUCUGCUGCAGUGCCUGCCAGGAUCAUGGUAGGUACGAUAAUAUAAAGAAUGAAGAUAAUAUAAAGAAUGAAGUACGCAAUGAGGACAGUGAACCCUGGCUAAACAAGGGGCAAAUGCACUAUUUAGAGAGGACAGCUUCCUCCCAGGUCCAGCACAACACUUUCAAGACCAGAUGACCAUAGAAGUCUCUUAUGUGACUUUUCAACUUGUAGUUUUAUCUUGCUGAUUUUUUUUUCAAUAAAAAAUUGAGUCCAGAAG
rnacentral:lncRNA from 1 species